UACGGGGGGGGCAAGCGUUGUUCGGAAUUACUGGGCGUAAAGGGCGCGUAGGCGGUUUGUUAAGUUGGAUGUGAAAACUGUGGGCUCAACCCACAGCCUGCAUCCAAUACUGACAGGCUAGAGUUCUGGAGGGGAUAGCGGAAUUCCUGGUGUAGCGGUGAAAUGCGUAGAUAUCAGGAGGAACACCGGUGGCGAAGGCGGCUAUCUGGACAGAGUCUGACGCUGAUGCGCGAAAGCUAGGGGAGCAAACAGG
rnacentral:rRNA from 1 species